rnacentral:rRNA from 1 species
UACGUAGGGUGCGAGCGUUAAUCGGAAUUACUGGGCGUAAAGCGUGCGCAGGCGGUUAUUUAAGUCAGGUGUGAAAGCCCUGGGCUUAACCUAGGAAUAGCGCUUGAGACUGGAUAGCUUGGAGUGCGGCAGAGGGAGGUGGAAUUCCACGUGUAGCAGUGAAAUGCGUAGAGAUGUGGAGGAACACCAAUGGCGAAGGCAGCCCCCUGGGCCAACACUGACGCUCAUGCACGAAAGCGUGGGGAGCAAACAGG